UACGAAGGGUGCUAGCGUUGUUCGGAAUCACUGGGCGUAAAGGGCGCGUAGGCGGCUUUGUAAGUCGGGGGUGAAAGCCUGUGGCUCAACCACAGAAUUGCCUUCGAUACUGCAUGGCUUGAGACCGGAAGAGGUAAGUGGAACUGCGAGUGUAGAGGUGAAAUUCGUAGAUAUUCGCAAGAACACCAGUGGCGAAGGCGGCUUACUGGUCCGGUUCUGACGCUGAGGCGCGAAAGCGUGGGGAGCAAACAGG
rnacentral:rRNA from 1 species